UACGGAGGGUGCAAGCGUUGUUCGGAAUCACUGGGCGUAAAGCGCGUGUAGGCGGCCUUCUCAGUCUGGUGUGAAAGCCCGGGGCUCACCCCCGGAAGUGCAUUGGAUACUGGAAGGCUGGAGUACCGGAGAGGAGGGUGGAAUUCCUGGUGUAGCGGUGAAAUGCGUAGAUAUCAGGAAGAACACCCGUGGCGAAGGCGGCUCUCUGGGACGGUACUGACGCUGAGACGCGAAAGCGUGGGGAGCGAACAGG
rnacentral:rRNA from 1 species